rnacentral:piRNA from 1 species
UAUGGGUUUAUCUAUUGCUGNAUUUUUCAC